AACGAACGCUGGCGGCAUGCCUAACACAUGCAAGUCGAACGAGACCUUCGGGUCUAGUGGCGCACGGGUGCGUAACGCGUGGGAAUCUGCCCUUGGGUGCGGAAUAACUUUCCGAAAGGAAUGCUAAUACCGCAUAAUGUCGUAAGACCAAAGAUUUAUCGCCCAAGGAUGAGCCCGCGUAAGAUUAGCUAGUUGGUGGGGUAAAAGCCUACCAAGGCGACGAUCUUUAGCUGGUCUGAGAGGAUGAUCAGCCACACUGGGACUGAGACACGGCCCAGACUCCUACGGGAGGCAGCAGUGGGGAAUAUUGGACAAUGGGCGAAAGCCUGAUCCAGCAAUGCCGCGUGAGUGAUGAAGGCCCUAGGGUUGUAAAGCUCUUUUACCCGGGAUGAUAAUGACAGUACCGGGAGAAUAAGCUCCGGCUAACUUCGUGCCAGCAGCCGCGGUAAAGUACAGUGU
rnacentral:rRNA from 1 species